UACAGAGGGUGCGAGCGUUAAUCGGAAUUACUGGGCGUAAAGCGUGCGUAGACGGUUAUUUAAGUCGGGUGUGAAAGCCCCGGGCUCAACCUGGGAAUUGCGUCUGAUACUGGAUGGCUUGAAUCCGGGAGAGGGAUGCGGAAUUCCAGGUGUAGCGGUGAAAUGCGUAGAUAUCUGGAGGAACACCGGUGGCGAAGGCGACAUCCUGGACCGGUAUUGACGCUGAGUGAGCGAAAGCCAGGGGAGCAAACGGG
rnacentral:rRNA from 1 species